GAUGAACGCUGGCGGCGUGCCUAAUACAUGCAAGUCGAGCGAAUGGAUUAAGAGCUUGCUCUUAUGAAGUUAGCGGCGGACGGGUGAGUAACACGUGGGUAACCUGCCCAUAAGACUGGGAUAACUCCGGGAAACCGGGGCUAAUACCGGAUAACAUUUUGAACCGCAUGGUUCGAAAUUGAAAGGCGGCUUCUGCUGUCACUUAUGGAUGGACCCGCGUCGCAUUAGCUAGUUGGUGAGGUAACGGCUCACCAAGGCAACGAUGCGUAGCCGACCUGAGAGGGUGAUCGGCCACACUGGGACUGAGACACGGCCCAGACUCCUACGGGAGGCAGCAGUAGGGAAUCUUCCGCAAUGGACGAAAGUCUUACGGAGCAACGCCGCGUGAGUGAUGAAGGCUUUCGGGUCGUAAAACUCUGUUGUUAGGGAAGAACAAGUGCUAGUUGAAUAAGCUGGCACCUUGACGGUACCUAACCAGAAAGCCACGGCUAACUACGUGCCAGCAGCCGCGGUAA
rnacentral:rRNA from 1 species